rnacentral:rRNA from 1 species
GACGAACGCUGGCGGCGUGCCUAAUACAUGCAAGUCGAACGCACAGUUUAUACCGUAGCUUGCUACACCAUAAACUGUGAGUUGCGAACGGGUGAGUAACGCGUAGGUAACCUGCCUGGUAGCGGGGGAUAACUAUUGGAAACGAUAGCUAAUACCGCAUAAUAUUAAUUAUUGCAUGAUAAUUGAUUGAAAGAUGCAAUUGCAUCACUACCAGAUGGACCUGCGUUGUAUUAGCUAGUAGGUGAGGUAACGGCUCACCUAGGCGACGAUACAUAGCCGACCUGAGAGGGUGAUCGGCCACACUGGGACUGAGACACGGCCCAGACUCCUACGGGAGGCAGCAGUAGGGAAUCUUCGGCAAUGGACGAAAGUCUGACCGAGCAACGCCGCGUGAGUGAAGAAGGUUUUCGGAUCGUAAAGCUCUGUUGUAAGAGAAGAACGGGUGUGAGAGUGGAAAGUUCACACUGUGACGGUAUCUUACCAGAAAGGGACGGCUAACUACGU